CAGUAGCCGCGGUAAUACGAAGGGUGCAAGCGUUACUCGGAAUUACUGGGCGUAAAGCGUGUGUAGGUGGUUGUUUAAGUCUGUCGUGAAAGCCCUGGGCUCAACCUGGGAAUUGCGAUGGAUACUGGGCGACUAGAGUGCGGUAGAGGAUAGUGGAAUUUCCGGUGUAGCAGUGAAAUGCGUAGAGAUCGGAAGGAACAUCUGUGGCGAAGGCGACUAUCUGGGCCAACACUGACACUGAGGCACGAAAGCGUGGGGAGCAAACAGGAUUAGAUACCCGAGUAGUCCCUGUCUCUUAUAC
rnacentral:rRNA from 1 species